GCGUCGGCUGGGCAUUGGCGAGCCUAAGUGGCUGUAACCCACCCGCUUUCGAGCUUUGGCGGUUCAACUCCGUCCCGACGCA
rnacentral:tRNA from 1 species